ACACCCUCCGACCCAACGCGCGCAAAUUGUUCGCACACAUACAAAACUAUCGCGUCUCUUGUUUCUCUCUCGAGCCGUUCACUCACCACAUCGCACCUGCUGUUCAUCUUUCUUCAGCUUUCCUUCAACGCUACUUGGCUCUUUCUUCACUUCCUCAAGUAAUUGAAUCCUACGGUGGCUGCCGUACUUAAUCAGCAUAUCUGACUGGUGGCGGCACUAAGGUUUCUAAGUAACCAUGGCCGAUUUCCAGACCUCGACUCAACGAGCCAAAUGGAUCUUGUCUCCUCAGGAGCUGGGUGGCAGGUACAACGCUGCUAACCAGAGAGCAAUUGAAGCUCUGGAGAAGUUUGGUGCAGCACUGAUGGAAGUAGAUGCUGACGGAUCAUUGUCAUAUCCAGACCCCCAGAUAAAUUCGAAAGAUCAUGCUGACAAACAUUCUCGCCCCAAAUCGUUAAGUAUUGAAGAAGAGCAGUUUAUGCGAGUAUUUUAUGAAAACAAACUUCAAGAAGUAUGCAACAAUUUUCAUUUUCCUCAUAAAAUCCAGGCAACAGCUCUAAUAUAUUUUAAAAGAUUCUACCUACAAUGGUCUGUGAUGCAACAUAAUCCAAAAAAUGUGAUGUUAACCUGCAUUUAUGCAGCUUGUAAGAUAGAAGAAAAUCAUGUCUCGGCUGAGGAGCUUGGUAAGGGGAUUUCACAGGAUCAUCAAAUUAUUCUCAAUUACGAGAUGAUAGUUUAUCAGAGUCUGGAAUUUGACCUUAUUGUUUAUGCACCUUAUCGGUCAGUUGAAGGAUAUGUAAAUGAUAUUGAGGAACUCUUUAAUGAGAAUGCUGAAAUGCUUCAAAUGCUGAAGGUAACAGCAUCAUUGGAGGUUGAUAAAAUUAUGUUAACAGAUGCCCCACUUCUCUUCCCUCCUGGGCAGUUAGCAUUGGCUGCAUUGCGCAGAUCAAAUGAAGUUCAUGGAGUCAUUGACUUUAAUAGCUACCUCGAUAGUAUCCUCUCUCGCCAGAAUUCCACACAUACAAUUUCUGAGCUCUACGAGGGUAUUAAUGCAAUUGAAUCGUUGGUUAAUCGGUAUGCUUUCCCUUCAGAAAAGGAUUUGAAGCACAUCAACCGAAAAUUAAAAUCAUGCUGGGGACUGGGCUCCAAUGACGAGAGUAAGAAAAGGGAGAAGAAAUCAAAGCACAAAUCAAAGAGAAGUUCGAAUGAAAUGCAAAACAGGCCUCUGCAGAAUUAGCUGUAUGUCUGUCUUCCACCCAUUACAUUUUUCUAGGCUUUUACUGGUUUUCAAUGGAGGCUCAGCCCCUUGGCUUUGGGCAAUGAGUUUGGUAUAUGAAACCAACAUCCUUGAGCCGCGUUCAACAUGAAAAUAUGGAAAAGGAAAACAUCAUAUCAAAGCACAGAUUAAAAAUUUGCCCCCUCUUUGAUACUCACUCUCUGAUUUUAUUCUUUUCUUGAGUCAGCUAUAUUUCUUGGUCAGUAGUGACCAAGAAAAUUCUGCCAUGUAAUGAUAACACUGCGACAAUUUUGAAUUCCAGACUUAUUCUGUCCUAGAUUUUAUUUCACAUUUUCUUCUGUCAAUGAAAGAGCUUUUUCACAUCUCCUUUCCUUUGGAAUGCGGGAGGAAAUUUCAUCUUCCUAAUUUUAUUUUAUUUUUUUGUGGGGAGGGGUGGAAUUGCUUUCUCCAUUGAAUAUAUCUUACCAUAAAGAAAGAAUAAUGAGAAACAAACAACUUCAAUACAA